rnacentral:tRNA from 1 species
GGGCCUAUAGUUUAGUGGUAGAAUUCUGGUCUCCAAAACCAGCGGCCGUGGUUCGAGUCCACGUGGGCCCGCAA